UCGUUUUCCAUAAUUACAGUC
rnacentral:piRNA from 1 species